CCUACGGGAGGCAGCAGUGGGGAAUAUUGGGCAAUGGGCGCAAGCCUGACCCAGCAACGCCGCGUGAAGGAUGAAGGCUCUCGGGUUGUAAACUUCUUUUAUCAGGGACGAAGCAAGUGACGGUACCUGAUGAAUAAGUCACGGCUAACUACGUGCCAGCAGCCGCGGAAAUACGUAGGUGGCAAGCGUUAUCCGGAUUUACUGGGUGGAAAGGGCGUGUAGGCGGGAAAGCAAGUCAGAUGUGAAAACCAUGGGCUCAACCUGUGGCCUGCAUUGGAAACUGUUUUUCUUGAGUACUGGAGAGGCAGACGGAAUUCCUAGUGUAGCGGUGAAAUGCGUAGAUAUUAGGAGGAACACCAGUGGCGAAGGCGGUCUGCUGGACAGCAACUGACGCUGAGGCGCGAAAGCGUGGGGAGCAAACAGGAUUAGAUACCCUUGUAGUC
rnacentral:rRNA from 1 species